GCUUGUCUAGCUCAGUUAGUAGAGUGUAAAGCUUUUAACCUUGUUGUUGUGGGUUCAAGCCCCACGAUGGGUG
rfam:Ipomoea nil DNA, scaffold: scaffold1158, cultivar: Tokyo-kokei standard.